UUUCAUUGUCUUUUACGCUCGUUUUAGAAAGCUGCCACGGGUUUGCACGCUAGUUAGGCUUUUUUAAAGCUCACCAUACGCAGCUGUUUUAGCCUAUGGCCACAUAUGGCAUGCGAGUAGGGACCCCUAUAGGAGAGUCGUCCUCCCGUUACCCCCACAUGUUCUCUCAAUGUACGCAGCCAGGAAAUCACCUCUAUGCUAUGCAUUAAAAUAUACAUCUAUAUUUUUCCUUCCCGAAUCCUUCGGGCAACUCAGGGUCCGCGUAUCCUCUGCACGGCACCCAUCGGUCGGAGCCACACGGCGCGGAUGGAGGCUCCGCUCUCAUUGUUCUGCACACACGGCCGCUCCCGGCCUCGCUGUACCACACUGGGAUCUACUGGGGCUUUCUGGCUCGGCUGCGUUCCAUGGCGUUAUAUUUUCCUUUCCUUUUACUGUUUUGGUUUUGCAUCUCUACGCCUUGCCCGAAUCCGGGUGCCGGUGGGCGCGAUGGGAAGCGGAGCGCAGCAUUACCGAAUCACAAAGGAAAUGUUCUUUUUCCUUUCGCGAUUACACACAGACACAGCAGAGCGUUGCCGAAUCUCAGAGGGCUUUGUUUUAUUUCAUAUUAUUUUGCUGGAACAAAUAAAUGGAAGCACGUGUUUUAAUUAUUUUCUUUCUUUCUUUCUUUCUUUCUUUCUUUCUUUCUUUCUUUUUCUUUCUUUCUUUCUUUCUUUUUUUUUUUUUAAAAAAAGAUCACGCGAGCGGAUUUUAAAUUUUUAUUCUUUUUUUUCUCCUGGAAAGGGAAUUUUUUACCCGGAGAAUGUGACCCUGCAGCCGGAGGGGCUGCCGUUAUCUCUGUUUCUGCAGACGGCUCCAAACCCUCUCCCACCGCCCCGCCCUGGCAGCAGUAGUGGCUGCGGCGCACAGCGGGCGGGGGCUCGGGUCGCCUUACGGAGGUAUUGCUGGUAUCUUCUCGGGAGGCGGCGAGCAGAGAGAUUGACACGAAAUGUACAGAACAAUAAAGUAAAAAGUUUGGGAAAGUAAGCUUG
rnacentral:lncRNA from 1 species